AGACUCUCGGCAACGGAUAUCUCGGCUCUUGCAUCGAUGAAGAACGUAGCGAAAUGCGAUACUUGGUGUGAAUUGCAGAAUCCCGUGAACCAUCGAGUCUUUGAACGCAAGUUGCGCCCGAAGCCAUUAGGUUGAGGGCACGCCUGCCUGGGUGUUGCACA
rnacentral:rRNA from 3 species